rnacentral:rRNA from 1 species
GCUCACUGGUCUAGUGAUUCCGCGCCGACAAUGUAGCGGGGCUCAAGCGUACCGCCGAAGUCGUGUCAUUGCAGCAUGAGGGCCAACGCCCGCUGUGAUGGGUAGGGGAGCGUCGUCUGCCGGGUGAAGCCGCCGCGGAAGCGAGUGGUGGACGGUUGACGAGUGAGAAUGCAGGCAUGAGUAGCGAUUCACACGUGGGAAACGUGUGCGCCGAUUGACUAAGGGUUCCUGGGUCAAGCUGAUCUGCCCAGGGUAAGUCGGGACCUAAGGCGAGGCCGACAGGCGUAGUCGAUGGAUAACCGGUUGAUAUUCCGGUACCCGCUGUGAAGCGUCAAACAUUGAAUCAGGCGAUGCUAAGUCCGUGAAGCCGCCCCGGAGCCUUCGGGCAAGGGGGAGUGGUGGAGCCGACGGACCAGACUUGUAGUAGGUGAGUGAUGGGGUGACGCAGGAAGGUAGUCCAGCCCGGGCGGUGGUUGUCCCGGGGUAAGGGUGUAGCCCGUACGGUAGGUAAAUCCGCCGUGCUUGUGGGUGAGACCUGAUGCCGAGCCGAUUGUGGUGAAGUGGAUGAUCCUAUGCUGUCGAGAAAAGCCUCUAGCGAGU